rnacentral:rRNA from 1 species
CCUACGGGGGGCAGCAGUGAGGAAUAUUGGUCAAUGGGCGUAAGCCUGAACCAGCCAAGUCGCGUGAGGGAUGAAGGUUCUAUGGAUCGUAAACCUCUUUUAUAAGGGAAUAAAGUGCGGGACGUGUCCCGUUUUGUAUGUACCUUAUGAAUAAGGAUCGGCUAACUCCGUGCCAGCAGCCGCGGUAAUACGGAGGAUCCGAGCGUUAUCCGGAUUUAUUGGGUUUAAAGGGUGCGUAGGCGGCCGUUUAAGUCAGCGGUGAAAGUCUGUGGCUCAACCAUAGAAUUGCCGUUGAAACUGGGAGGCUUGAGUAUGUUUGAGGGAGGCGGAAGGCGUGGUGUAGCGGUGAAAUGCGUAGAUAGCACGCAGAAGCCCGAUUGCGAAGGCAGCCUGCGAGGCAAUGACUGAAGCUGAUGCGCGAAAGCGGGGGGAUCAAACAGGAUUAGAUACCCGGGUAGUC